AUACCAAAACUGUCUUUUUGACCCAGCCAUGAAUAUCUACCCAACCCCAGAUUUAUGUGUUUGGCUGAAAAUGACAGAGCAGGCAAAGACCAGCCAGUCAGCUGCAGAGGAGCGCCCUUGUCUGAAGAUGUGUGUUAUUUAUACCACUUUAGACUCUGCACAUAAAUACACUAAUAAUCACUGUGAGAAGACAGCUUGGCUUUUUGGAGGACAAAUGCUGUGGGGUGGUAGAAGACUGAGGACCCCAAUCCUGGCCCUGGCAUUUAGUGGGUGAGUCUUGCUGCUUUCCCUUGUCUCUGUGGGCUUCGGUCUUUCCAUCUGUAAAUAUAUGAUGGCAAUACCUGCUGUGCUGUAUGGCUGUGCUGAGGAUAAAAUGAUAUCAUACUUUGUAACCUUUUAGACUCAAUGCAGGUGAAGAUGAUGCAGUCUUAGGACCUUAGCUAAGUGCUUUACACUCACUGCUCUUGAGGUAAAAUUAAAACAAAAUACUAGGUAAUGCCAAAAAAAAAAAAAGUCACUGUGUUAGCCUGUUUGUAUAAAGAUUAUUAAGGGAAGAAAUGUACUUGGAUUUUUUUUUCUAGGACAGGGGUUACUAUCAUUCAUUUAUAGUAUGUAUCUGUAAGAUAUUUGAUAAGAAGAUAGCCACUGUAUAGACUGUCUCCCUGUAUAUUAGAAAAACCAUUAAAGCUAUUUUGAAAGCACAAAUAAAAACUUCCAUUUCAAAAAAAGAGUGGGGGGGGGGUGCAGAUUACAUUAUCUGACCUGUCUCCUGCUACAAAAUACCUAGCAGUGCUGAAAACCUAGAACAUCCUUUUAGUCAUCAUCUGACUUCCAAGAAAGUAAGAGCCAUCUCUGGGGUUAAGAAUUGAAGGGAAUGUGAACACCAAAAUGGUAAGCGUGAGCUAAUAUUGCAACUGCCUGGAUAAGAAAAGAGGAGUCAGAAGGUGGGAGAUUGCCAAUUUUAUUAGGCAAGAGGACACCUCUCUCUCUCUCUCUCUCUCUCUCUCUCUCUGUCUCUAAAAAUUUCACAUACACACAUAGGAUACUAUGAGUCCCCCGCAUACCUACCAACAAGUCUCAACAGAUUCAAUCAAGAUUCUGUAGCACUACAUUUAUAUUUCCUUUGCUGAAAUAUUUUACCCCGAAUCCCAAACAUCAUGUCAUUUCACUCCCCAUGCCUCCAGCAGACAUGAUGUGCCCCCGAUGUGGAGCACUGAGAAGUACACAGAACUACCUAUGAAGUAUUCUUUCCAAAUAAACACACAAAAUCGAACCGAAAUCUAUAUUUAACCAUUGCUUUAGGGAGACAGAGGAACCAGGAAACAUCUAAGCUUUGGGAUACUGAUCUGCAUAACUCAGACCACAAGAGACUGAUGCCAAUAUAUGAAUUUAUGUUGCUCAGAGCUGCUCAGACACUUUCUAAUAAAUGGAAUAUUCACAUAGUUGCUUUUGGGAAAGCCCUCCUUCUGCCUUUUCUGUCAACCAGGUAUCCGAGAAACUCUCAGACUUCAGAAUGCUGCUUGGUGAAUAUAAAACGAGAACAUAGUGGCUGUUGUUGAGGGUAUUUGACCUUGGGUACAACAGAGAUUUAUGAAUUAAUUUUGUUUCACUCCAGGGACUUUCAUUCUAAUAUUGAAUGACUACAUCCACAAGAAUCAUGCCCUGAAAUAUGUUUUUAGAUUUGUGUAUGCCCUUAAAAAUACGCGAUUUUUUGUGUUUAUGCUCACGUAUCCUUAAUUUACAUAAAUGUCAUUAUAGAUCUCAUUUUGUUUGUAUCAUUGAAAAAUGUAUAGUGCUACCUAGUAGAUAUAUUUAAUAAUGACAACAAAAUAACAACUUAUGGAAAACCUACCUUGUAUUGGGCACUUUUGUGGCUGCUGGGGAUGUGGUCAUUUUGUAAACAUGUUUUGAAUGUAUGUAAAUGACACUACACUAUAUAUCCCAAUUUGCUUCUUGCUGUCGUUAAUCAGUACUACCUUAUUAAGCUCCAACCAGGCUGAGUGUGCACCAUUUUAUUAUUCUGAUUGCCACGUCAAAUGCCCAUAUCAACCCUCCUUGUGCUAGAAACUUGUAUAGCCUGCACUCAUCACUACCACAAAUAACACUGGGACAAAUAUCCUUGAACACAUUCUAUUAUAAUCAGAAUUUAUCUGGGUUAUUUGCCCAGUUGUGGGACUCAAUAAAUGCCGCCAGACUCUUCCUGGGAUUGUCUGCACCCAUUUCAUGAAAGUUUCUCUAUCUCGAGACGCCUGCCUGGCUAAUUCAGUGAAGCAUGCAACGCUUGAUCUCAGGGCUGUGAGUUCGAGCCCCACGUUGGGUGUAGAGAUUGCUUAAAAAUAAAAUCUUAAAAAAAGAGAGAGAGAGAAAGUUCCUAUUUAUUCAACUUUCAACAAUAAUUGGCAUUAUUCAAUUUCGUAUUUUCUCCCAAUCUGAUGGAUGAAAUGUGGGAUCUCAUUAUUGUCUUCAUUGCUAUUUCUUUUAUUUCUCGUGUGACUGUUACCUUGGAUUUGGGUUUCCUUUAGUAUGAAUUGUAUCUUCAUAUCUAACAGCCACAUUUUUAUCUAGAUCUCCUACUUUUUUCUCCUUUGAAAGAGAUCAAUUCUCAAGUCAAUAUGUUUCGUGUAAUUUCAAUCCAAAUUCCAGCAUGAGUUUGCCUUGUGUUAAAGCUGUUCUGUAUGUCAUAUUUCUCCCCCUCAAGCUCCUGGAGGGUAGAGUUGCUAUUAUUUUUGGAUACCCCACGACAUUCAGCCUCAGCCCUGCUCAGAGCAAGCCUCAACCAGUGCUUGCUGACUACGAGCUGAGGGUAGGGGGAGGAGGAUGCCACUUAGCAAGUGGCCACUUUGCAGAAGGCAGAGGCCAGGCAUGGUGGUUGAGCUGGCUGGCCAGCCAAGCAAGACCAGGGGAAAGGGGGAUGGGAAGCAAGAGUGGGGACAUAAGAGUUCUGUUCCAAGGGGCCAAGACAAGUGCCUUUUGCAAUCCCAUUUCUAAAAACACAAAUAAAAAAAAAACAAUGGAAACAACAAAAAUAUACCUGUAACUUUUUUAUUUAAAAAUAUUCCACCUACACGAUCUCACGGUUUGUGAGUUCGAGCCCCUCCUCGGGCCCCUUGCUGACAGUGCUUGAGAUUCUCUCUGCCUCUCCCUGACUCAUGCAUGUGCGUGCACUCUCUCUCUCAAUAAAUAAAUAAACUUAAAAAAAAUAUUCCACCUAGGAGCUUCAUUUUUCUAUAGUUCUGAGGGUCUAGGCGAAGUUCAGUCUUGAAGCUUCUGUGUCCUGUGGCCGAUGACGAUCUUUGACAAUCUUACAUUGAGUCCUGUUCUAGCCGACGAGGAUGGUAAGAUCGUUCCCUAGAAACAGCAGGCAGCAUGGAGAACUUGAGAAGAGGCUGUCCUUGCUCAGCACCUGUUACCCAGAUUGCACACUAUCUCUUCUGGAGCUCGAUCUUUAUUCUGCAAGUUGAUGAUUUGGACUCAGUGUAAUGAGUUGCAGAAGACUUCAGAGUUUCUACAGGUAAGUGCUGCAGAAAGACAGUGAUUCUGUCGGUGCUGAAUGAAGGCACAGGGUUUCACUUAGCUGGCAUGCCGUGCUGAAUUAGUUGGACAGCAUUUCUUUCAGCACAAGGCUGGUUCAACCCACCCAGUUCUGAGAUCAUAGGAAUUACCUGAAAUUGUAUUUAUUUGCUUAAGGGCGUAUGUCUUGCUUUCCCAGAUAGAGUAUAAGCCGCCUGAGGAUAUAAACCAUAGAUGAUACCUGUUUGCUUCUCGCAGAGAGCUAUUCUGAUAAUUAAGCCCUUGAUAAUUAUGUGUUAAAUGUACUAAUGAAUGAGUUCAUUAGAAGGAGUGAUUGAGGCCAGAUAGUCAAUCUCCUUGCCCCAACUCUCUGGGAUUGUAUACGGACGGGCACCUGGUCUAGCAGGCACAUUGACCUAGUAUUUGGGGAUGGUGGAAUCCACGGGGAGUAAUAUUACUUCGUAGAUAUGCAGAGAAAGGCACCAUGUAGGAGGAGGAGAGAGAUUAAACCAAAGAAGUAUGAACUCCACCUUAGGAGGGACGGGUUGAGUGCACAGUGUGCUGGGUUGCUCGGGGCCCCGGUUAUCUCUGUGUUGGAUGACUGGGUCCAUUUCCUCAAGCCCCUAGGAGCAGAGCCGCGGCACGGUCGGACCAUCGGCCGUGUGCUAGUGUAGACGGGGGCGCCUCUUGCUGUGAUGGUCCCACUGUCUUGAAGCUCUGCCUUCCCUGAGUCCUGGUGCUCAGUUUUCCUUGGUUGGCUGCCAUACCGAUUUGUAUCCUUGAAAUGCAUCCCUUUACACUUUUCCCUUAUUCUUUCUAAAACCUGCUGCUCCGAAAGGGCUUCCGAUCUCUACAAGCAAACGAGCCACAUCGGAAGCACUCCCCUCGAUGUCGAUUUCGUAUCUUGGGCACUCCAUGGGCAAACGGCACACCCCCCUAUCCCCGCCUGGCCACUUCUGCAGAUGGUGACCCCGCGGGUGGUCGGGAGGCAUGAAUGCCUCAGAGCAUCUCAGCAGGAGGAGGCUUGUCGCAAACAGAUCUGAGAAGGCCCAGAAUAGAAAGGAUCCAAAGGGAGAGCAGGGCAACCUGCCGUUCCCCAGGGUUGUGGCCACUUGGCAUCGGCUGAUACCUCCCAUCCAACUGACCACACACGGUGGCCUUCGCUCCUGUGACAGCAAUGAUUCUAGCCAACCGGAUGUGGCUGCAGCAGGGUCAAAGAAUUCCAGAACUGGAAUAAAUUUUACACGUCUCUUAAUUCCCA